rnacentral:rRNA from 1 species
CCUACGGGAGGCAGCAGUGGGGGAUAUUGCACAAUGGGGGGAACCCUGAUGCAGCGACGCCGCGUGGGUGAAGAAGCGCCUCGGCGCGUAAAGUCCUGUCAGCAGGGAAGAAAAUGACGGUAUCUGAAGAAGAAGCCCCGGCUAACUACGUGCCAGCAGCCGCGGUAAUACGUAGGGGGCAAGCGUUAUCCGGAUUUACUGGGUGUAAAGGGCGCGCAGGCGGCGUUGCAAGCCAGGAGUGAAAGCCGUGGGCCCAACCCCGGAACUGCUCUUGGAACUGGGUGGCUGGAGUGCAGGAGAGGGAGGCGGAAUUCCUGGGGUAGCGGUGAAAUGCGUAGAGAUCAGGAGGAACACCGGUGGCGAAGGCGGCCUGCUGGACUGCAACUGACGUUGAGGCGCGAAAGCGUGGGGAGCAAACAGGAUUAGAUACCCGAGUAGUC